CAGCUGUUCUUUAGGGAAUAAAUCCUAACUAUUCCUUCAGACAGCGAAGGAAAAAGUUGCUUUCUACUUCAGAAGAUCUGUAAGUUGUGAAUGUGAAAAAGAUAGCCAUGACCCCUUUAAGUUCUGAGAAGGGUGAUUAAAGCCUAAAGAGAUGCAUCACUUCUCGGAUACCAUCACAGAAUUGCCGUGUCGUACAGUUCAGCAAUCCCUUGCUCGGUGCAUGGUUUGUAACAUCUUUUAAUUCCCAAACAUUUUAUCCUUUCUAGGUAUAUUAACUAUAAGCAUUAGAAAGUGUUCUCAAUCUCACUCCAGACAGCUAAACUUAAAAUGUUUUAGUCCUUAAUUUUUACAUACUUAAGGGAUGCCCUUAGAGUUUCCUACAAGGACACUUUUUUCCCUUUUCAUAUUUUGACAGAGAAAUACGGAUCAAUACAUGGUUUAAUCCAGAUGCUUUGAACAUAUUAACAUCACUGACAGCUACAGAACCAGUUCUGACCACCAGCAUAAAAGAGGGAAGCAAAUCUCAAAUCCAGCACCCCAGGAGAACUUCACUGGCUUCUGUCUCCUUGCUGUGCUCCUGCAGAUCGCUCAAGGCUGCGAGAGGCAGAGCAGAACGGGGUCUUGCCCCCACACACACCACACCCCUCCUGCACAGUCACACCUGGAGCAAGCAAAGACCUUAGAUUCCAACCACCAAAUUUGCCCAUUUUCUUCAACAACACAACCACGAGGAUCUGUGGGGUCAACGCAACAGAUUUGGUUGGUUCAGUUGGUGAGAAAUAGUUCAGGACCACAGUGAAGAAGAGUUAGAUUGAAGGCAAGGCACUGCUCCAGCCAGCCGCUUGGGCUUCUCCACCUAACAGUCUACAGAAGCACGGGAGAGAAGCUGAGCUGGCCCUGCAUGGCUCCAGAACAGGCCCACGGGAUCUUAUUGCAGCUGUAAUGUACCAGCAAGGACCAACAUUUUCUUCAUCUCACCCUCGCAAUUAUCACUCCACACAGCCUGUGAAGUCUGCAGCAGCUGCGAUCUAAUAGACUUGUAACAAACAGGCAAGUUCUGAGCACCAGGACAAAGUAUCUCGGCUGACCCUGGUUAAACCCAGGAUGUACUUAAAAGAAGCACAACGGCUAACAUCCUUUUUGCCAGAAAACUAUGCUUUCUCCUCAUAAACAGCAGCAAAACCCACGGCUCUGUGACGGUACUGAAAGAUUAGGAACGACAUGCCAAAAUCAAUGAAAAUUCUGAUAAAGUUGAGAUACAGCACUUAGAAAGCACUGAUCAUAGCGUCCACUGCAAACUGCAACUUUUAGUCAGUCUCACAGCUCCCCAAAAGAGAGAAACGCCGUUCCCUCCAGUAACAGAAAUCAGUCACGACGACGUUACAACCCACUGUCUGAAAAACUUCCACGUCCUGCGUUUUUCACAACAAAAAUCCUCAUCAGGUCGCUAUCAUAACAUAGCUCGAGCAAGAGCUUUGUUCACAACAUAGGUUUAGCACUCAGAUUACCAAGUGAUGGAAGAUUUUCUCCCACCUUGAAAUUUCGCUGCCUUACACCACCAUAAUCACAGCCACGUAUAAUUAAAUGCAUUUAUUCAGCGUUUUCCUGUAACUCAGGGUGAUUUUCUGAACUCGGGGCAUGUAAAAUACAGAAUUCACACCUCUGGAUGCAAAGUCAUGCUCAGCCUUAACCAUGGCAACUCUCCCCUUCAAAUCAGGACUAAAAUCUGUUCAUCCACACAAACCGGGUUAUGGGAGUCAAGUGCUGAUGAAAUGACAAAGGACGUCAUCUUACUUUCACUAAGUCCAUAAUAAAGCUCCCACCGACUGCAGCAAGAGCAAAAACCAGCAUCAGAUUUCUACAAAUGAUUAUUAUUCUCUGCAAAGCACCUUACACAUUUCCCAUCAGACCCCUCCAGAAGGAUGAUGGUCUCUCAGCUUCCUAAUAAUAUUGCCUCGUGGAAAAGCACCUCUGACUGCCAGCACUAAUCUAGCUUAGGGUUUAAACAAAACAAAACAAAAACAAAACCAACAAACAAACAAAAAACAGAUUAAAAGAUAAAAUUUACAUAGUUAAAGCCACUUGUGUAUUUAAUUGAGUAUAAAUUUGUGUGAAACUGCUUUGGAACUGAGGAUAAAUUAACAUUGCUAGCUUCUGAACAGAGAAAAAACAUAAGAAGUAGUUUUGUAGUUCACAGUCUCCUUCUCACAGGAGAAGAUAAAGUUCAUCUUCGUGUGCUCAGGGGCACUUCAGCCUUAAACAUGAUUUGCAACCUAAAAAUUGACUAAUUAGGCCUUCCUCUCCAGCGAGCUGACAGACAGCACACCUGGCAGCUGCUUGCAGGAAUAUUUUCUGCACAGAAAGCAUUAGCAUCCAGCUCCUAAGACAAGGGCAAAACGCAGAUAAACUUGCCUUGCCCACUUCACAGGAACCACCUCAGUGCUUACAGCUGCUACUUACCAGUCUGAUGGUGAAAGCAUGCUUCUUCACACAUGUGGGACCUGCAACUGGGCUUUUUAAUUCAAUGAUUGCCUUCACAUUAACAGAGCACAGAAGGAUUCCUAUGUGAAAUGGGAAGCUCUAUUCAGAUUCCCCUACCAGUGCA
rnacentral:lncRNA from 1 species